GACGAACGCUGGCGGCGUGCUUAACACAUGCAAGUCGUACGGUAAGGCCCUUUCGGGGGUACACGCGUGGCGAACGGGUGAGUAACACGUGAGUAACCUGCCCACAACUUUGGGAUAACGCUAGGAAACUGGUGCUAAUACUGGAUAUGUGCUCCUGCUGCAUGGUGGGGGUUGGAAAGCUCCGGCGGUUGUGGAUGGACUCGCGGCCUAUCAGCUUGUUGGUGGGGUAGUGGCCUACCAAGGCGGCGACGGGUAGCCGGCCUGAGAGGGUGACCGGCCACAUUGGGACUGGGAUACGGCCCAGACUCCUACGGGAGGCAGCAGGGGGGAAUAUUGCACAAUGGGCGCAAGCCUGAUGCAGCAACGCCGCGGGCGGGAUGACGGCCUUCGGGUUGUAAACCGCUUUCAGCAGGGACGAAGCUUUUUGUGACGGUACCUGCAGAAGAAGCACCGGCUAACUACGUG
rnacentral:rRNA from 1 species